rnacentral:lncRNA from 1 species
GUUAGGAAUGAAAAGUGGUAGAAAAUGAUAUUGCUUAUUACAUUCACAUUGGGCGAUUGAUCCGGUAUAUAUAUGUAGAUGCAGAAAACAGAUAUAUAGUACUCGACGCAUUCACAUUGCUCGGGUGCAUAUCGGUAGGUACGUAGUAGUAUAGUAUAGUAUAUAUAUUUAUGAUGAUGCAGGAGUCGGCGGGCCGGUAGAAUUGCCGUAGCCCUAGUUUUUCACUUUUUCCAUGUGAGGAACUCUCCUGAGACAAAGUCGUAGUGGGCGCCGAUCAGCUUGAGGGUCCCAUUUGCAAGCCCUUCCUUGACGAAGGGGUAGGUCUUGAGGUUCUCCAGGGACACGUUCACGGCCUCCUGCAGAAACAAUAGAGGUCCUUUUGGUGAGCAAAAACCAAUCUAUUCAUGCAACAGUAACUGCUCGACGAAUGUACAACAUACCUUCUCGAGAAUGGAGCACUGGUCAUCGAACGGCACCGAGGCGUGCUCUUUCUUUACCUUCAUCUUGGCAAUGAAGCCGAUCUUAACCCAGUCCUCGACGAAGUGG